rnacentral:rRNA from 1 species
AUUGAACGCUGGCGGCAUGCCUAACACAUGCAAGUCGAGCGGAUGAAGGGAGCUUGCUCCUGGAUUCAGCGGCGGACGGGUGAGUAAUGCCUAGGAAUCUGCCUGGUAGUGGGGGAUAACGUCCGGAAACGGGCGCUAAUACCGCAUACGUCCUGAGGGAGAAAGUGGGGGAUCUUCGGACCUCACGCUAUCAGAUGAGCCUAGGUCGGAUUAGCUAGUUGGUGGGGUAAAGGCCUACCAAGGCGACGAUCCGUAACUGGUCUGAGAGGAUGAUCAGUCACACUGGAACUGAGACACGGUCCAGACUCCUACGGGAGACAGCAGUGGGGAAUAUUGGACAAUGGGCGAAAGCCUGAUCCAGCCAUGCCGCGUGUGUGAAGAAGGUCUUCGGAUUGUAAAGCACUUUAAGUUGGGAGGAAGGGCAGUAAGUUAAUACCUUGCUGUUUUGACGUUACCAACAGAAUAAGCACCGGCUAACUUCGUG